AUUAUAUGAUAUGCAUUCAAUGACUGUAACAGAAGGGAUACACUAUGUAAAUUUGUGCAUGUGCUCAGUCGUUGUUUUUUCACAAAGAAUACACUUUAUGUUAUUAGACACAUUCUUUUCAUCCUUACAUCUCAUGUUUAACUGCUAUCAUGACUAAAGGGUAGCGUAAAGCAUAGUUGACAGUCUAUCUGACGUAUUAAGCACAAAGAUGAUCGAUACUUCCUAUAAUUCACCAUUCCCCUGUUUCUCGAGUUCCUUUCAGUAAAGUUUUACAUCUCGCGCUAAAAUGAGUCGUUAACGACAGCAAAGCGCAAGACUGUAACUGAUGCAAAGCCAUAAAAUGAUACUCACCCGACAGGAAUAUCGUGAAAACACAAAAUACGGCAAAUAUUAAGGAAUUUGAAGUCAUCUCUGAUCAUCUAUUGGAUCUAAAAGAAUUCACAAAUAUGGUGGUUGCCCCGCGAACACAUCUCAGGCAGGUGUUGUUUUUGUUUUGUGAAGUAAAACCUAAACCUAAAGCUACGUACUUUACUUGCAAAUUUUUAGAGAAAAAACACAUAUAGCUAAGAGCCAUUCAUCAUACAAAGAAAUUUGCAUGGCCAAACAUAUAUUGUGUAACAGUUGUAAUAUUUAGUAUUUAAACAGCAUAUUUCUAAUGGGCCUGUUAAUUAAAGUAUUGUGCAAAA